rnacentral:lncRNA from 1 species
GAAGAAUGACAUGGAAAGGAAAGGUGGAAAUGUACUAUAAGCAUAAAGGAAUGGCAUGUGUGAAAGAUCAGGUGGGAGAAAUAAAGAAUCUCUAUUGGGCUGCUGUUCUCAUCACUCUUCUGAAACUGGACUCUACUCAGUCUUCAAUGUCCUUGUUUUUAUGCAAUAUUUGACACUGUUAACAAUCCUUUCCUUUUCCAAUUUCUCUUCUCCAUGAACAGUUAUUCAUAUUUAAGUGAAAAAUAAACAAGUCUAUUUUGAAAUUCCAAUAAUAAUCUCCAGUGUCUAAAACUGAACUCAUCAUUCAUUUGACAAAGAAGCUGCCCCUAGCCCAUCUCUUCCUUCAUUCUGCCAAGAGUGGACUACACCCCCAGGAUGGUCCAGAGUACUCCUUGAGUCCUACUUUUUUUUUUUUUUUUUUUGCAAUUCCCACAUGUGGUCAAAGUUUCAUUUAUUUUUCCCUCAUAGUAUUUCUCGGUUUUGUUCUUUCUUUGCCACUUUUGCCUUAUCACAUUUGGAUUAGCUUCCUGAUUUCCCUGUUUUUUUUUGUCUCAGUGCUCCUCUCUCCAUCCUGCAUAGCAGCACCACAUGACUCUUCAUAAGGCUACAGUUCUCUCCCUUCAUUCUCCUGCUCCCUGUGCAUCUGAAGUUACUCAUUGCUGCUAGAAAAAUGUCCAAACUUUGGCUCAAUCCAUCUUCCAAGCCUCAGAGCAACAACAGUCAUUGAAACAGAUGCCAGUUGAAAUUGAUUGUGCUACUUACCUUCAGUUUCCUAAGCUGGAAAUACAGUAUUUCCUCAACUUUUG